UUCUGAUUAUGAACAAGGUGUUGUUGCUUGAUAACUGGAUCACGUCAUUAUGAGAAUCACGUGAUGGACUAGACCCAAACUAAUAGACGUAGCAUGUUGAUCGUGUCAUUUUGUUGCUACUGUUUUCUGCGUGUCAAGUAUUUGUUCCUAUGACCAUGAGAUCAUAUAACUCACUGACACCGGAGGAAUACUUUGUGUGUAUCAAACGUCGCAACGUAACUGGGUGACUAUAAAGAUGCUCUAC
rnacentral:lncRNA from 1 species